rnacentral:rRNA from 1 species
GGCGGCAGGCUUGACACAUGCAAGUCGAGCGGUAGCAGAUCUAGCUUGCUAGAUGCUGACGAGCGGCGGACGGGUGAGUAACGCGUAGGGACCUGCCCAGUAGUGGGGGAUAGCCCGGGGAAACUCGGAUUAAUACCGCAUACGCUCUACGGAGGAAAGAGGGGGCUUCGGCUCUCGCUAUUGGAUGGGCCUGCGUGAGAUUAGCUAGUUGGUGAGGUAAUGGCUCACCAAGGCGACGAUCUCUAGCUGGUCUGAGAGGAUGAUCAGCCACACUGGGACUGAGACACGGCCCAGACUCCUACGGGAGGCAGCAGUGGGGAAUAUUGCACAAUGGGCGCAAGCCUGAUGCAGCCAUGCCGCGUGUGUGAAGAAGGCUUUCGGGUUGUAAAGCACUUUCAGUGGGGAGGAAGGCCUCGUAGUUAAUAGCUGCGAGGAUUGACGUUACCCACAGAAGAAGCACCGGCUAACUCCGUG